GACCCUGACUGCCACCAAGGACAAAAUCGUCUCAAUGAUGGGCUCAGAGAGCAUUAUGGGUGGAGACACCGACACACUUGCGUCAGAGCCAGAGAAUGGUAACUAUCAACCCUAAUUUGCUUGCAUUGUAAAAAAAACAAGAGUCAAAUUUUUACAUUUGCACAUUUUGCAGGGCGAGCGAGCACCAGCUUCCCGUAAUACAAGGGCCAUCAUAACUGCAGAGGUCCUAGAAAGACAGACGGAGAUUUGCCGUUUAUUGGCGGCAGUCGUGACCUCACUUGAAGCAAUCAACGGAAC